rnacentral:misc_RNA from 1 species
AUUCGUCGACUAGCCAUCUCGAAACUUAGUUCCAAAUACCUAUUUUGUGUCAGAGGGCGCUACGAGAUCAGCGACAUCACUCUCUGGGCAGCUGACAAUCGGCAGAUUAUCGAUUACCUAAAUUGCGAAUUCCCGAUGUGACGAUCCGACCAACGCAGUGGAUAUUAUAACCUCUAAAUGCGAGUCCCCCAUCCACCCCCGCCCAUUUCUAGUGAGACCGUAAAUUGUUUGUAAAAUUAUUGAAAACUAUCCGCGCGAAUGAAACACAAUAUAACGUAAGCUGAUUUCACGUAUCGUUGAUAUACUUGCAUUCUAUCCGCACGAAAAUCCAAAAAUUCCUAACCUAACUUAACCUCUACUUCUCAUCACAUUCGCCGGAAUCAAGUCGGGAGGGUUCGAAAUUUGAUAAGAAAAGAUAGUAAAAAGCCAAUUCGUAAUAGAAAUAUGUUUAAACUGAGGCCAUCGCGACUUCGACUAGCCGCCAACAUGACGAGAAGCAACUCGACGAAUCCAACUAGCAAAGUGAUAGAACACCUGAGCAAGAGGAGCCUCCUCAGAGUUUCUGGCACAGAAUCGUCCUCGUUUUUGCAAGGUCUGAUAACUAACGACAUGAGGCACUUGGACGAGGGGAAAGCGAGCAUGUACACAAUGUUCCUAAAUACGAAGGGCAGAGUGAUGUUUGACGCGAUACUCUACCGAACGCAUGAGAUCGGAGUCUAUCUGCUGGAGUGUGACAGUCGGGCUUUGAUGUCCGUACAAAAACACCUCAAGCUCUACAGAGUGAGGCGAAAGAUAGACAUUGAUGAUCUGAGCAACGAGAUGAAGGUCUGGGCAUUAUUCGAUCCUGACAAAGCAUCGAUUGAGUCGUGGAACGCUGGCGCGAACAUAACGAAGAAAAUUAAGCUCGAAGGACAGAUAUUCCCAUGUGAUUCCCUGGUUGAUAUCGUUGAUACCAGUUCGAGCAAAGUCAUAGAAAACAUCAGGAUAUACCCAGAUCCAAGGUUCUCGGGUCUUGGUUUCCGCAUUUUAUCCGACCUUGGGACACAAACCGGAGACAUCGUCGCUCGCGUCGAUCCAGACACCGUGGAGAGUAAGGAGGUGUCUACUGGCUACAGAUCCCUCAUUUACAAGCUGGGAAUUGGCGAGGGCUGCGACGACCUGCCGCCUGGCAAGGCGCUACCUCUGGAAUCAAACUGCGAUUAUUUACACGGCGUCAGUUUUCACAAGGGCUGCUACAUUGGCCAGGAAUUGACGGCAAGGACAUACCACACAGGGGUGGUCAGAAAACGACUGAUGCCCAUUACCCUUGAAAGUUCCCCUCCUGAGCCCAUAGAGUACGACGAGAGCAUUACAGAUGAGAGUGAGAAAUCAAUUGGUAAAUUGAGGGGACAUGUCAAUGAGAAUGGACUUGGACUUGUCCGUAUCGCCGAAGCACUAACUGCUCAGUCUCUCAGAAUAUCUGGACUCAAGGGAAAGGCUUUAAAACCUGUCUGGUGGCCGCAGGAAGCUCCCAAAGAAAGUGCAUCGAUCGGAAAGAGCGAUUGAAAAUGAGGGUAGAAGGGCCUCCAAUGGAUAAUAUUGUAUAGACAAUAUUACUAUUUUUUAAAAUCAAUUAGUAAUAUAGAUGAGAGAUUAUUUUGUAUAAGCGAUGCCGGCUGCAAAGACUGAUACGAUAGAUUUAGGAUGGAGUCAGUAGCUACCACAUCUGCGGAAUAUUCCGAGUUUUCUGAAACUCAUAAGCGAGUAAACAUGGAGCCGGAAAGUACGAAGAUAGAAAAAGAUCGUGGCAAAACGUUUGAGUGUAGC